rnacentral:rRNA from 1 species
CAGCCGCCGCGGUAAUACGAAGGGUGCAAGCGUUAAUCGGAAUUACUGGGCGUAAAGCGCGCGUAGGUGGUUUGGUAAGAUGGAUGUGAAAUCCCCGGGCUCAACCUGGGAACUGCAUCCAUAACUGCCUGACUAGAGUACGGUAGAGGGUGGUGGAAUUUCCUGUGUAGCGGUGAAAUGCGUAGAUAUAGGAAGGAACACCAGUGGCGAAGGCGACCACCUGGACUGAUACUGACACUGAGGUGCGAAAGCGUGGGGAGCAAACAGGAUUAGAUACCCCGGUAGUCCCUGUCUCUUAUAA